rnacentral:rRNA from 1 species
UCUCGUUAAGGAACUCGGCAAAAUGACCCCGUAACUUCGGGAGAAGGGGUGCUGGCUUAAAGUCAGCCGCAGUGAAUAGGCCCAAGCAACUGUUUAUCAAAAACACAGCUCUCUGCUAAAUCGUAAGAUGAUGUAUAGGGGGUGACGCCUGCCCGGUGCUGGAAGGUUAAGAGGAGUGCUUAGCGCAAGCGAAGGUAUGAAUUGAAGCCCCAGUAAACGGCGGCCGUAACUAUAACGGUCCUAAGGUAGCGAAAUUCCUUGUCGGGUAAGUUCCGACCCGCACGAAAGGCGUAAUGAUUUGGGCACUGUCUCAACGAGAGACUCGGUGAAAUUUUAGUACCUGUGAAGAUGCAGGUUACCCGCGACAGGACGGAAAGACCCCAUGGAGCUUUACUGUAGUUUGAUAUUGAGUACCUGUAAGUCAUGUACAGGAUAGGUAGGAGCCAUUGAAAUAGGGACGCUAGUUUCUAUUGAGGCGUUGUUGGGAUACUACCCUUGACUUAUGGUUACUCUAACCCGCUGGCAUAAUCGGCCAGGGAGACAGUGUCUGACGGACAGUUUGACUGGGGCGGUCGCCUCCUAAAGAGUAACGGAGGCGCUCAAAGGUUGGCUCAGAUUGGUUGGAAAUCAAUCGUAGAGUGUAAAGGUAAAAGCCAGCUUGACUGCGAGAGCUACAACUCGAGCAGGUAGGAAACUAGGACUUAGUGAUCCGGUGGUACCGCAUGGAAGGGCCAUCGCUCAACGGAUAAAAGCUACCCUGGGGAUAACAGGCUUAUCUCCCCCAAGAGUUCACAUCGACGGGGAGGUUUGGCACCUCGAUGUCGGCUCGUCGCAUCCUGGGGCUGUAGUCGGUCCCAAGGGUUGGGCUGUUCGCCCAUUAAAGCGGUACGCGAGCUGGGUUCAGAACGUCGUGAGACAGUUCGGUCCCUAUCCGUCGCGGGCGUAGGUAAUUUGAGAGGAUCUGUCCUUAGUACGAGAGGACCGGGAUGGACUUACCGCUGGUGUACCAGUUGUUCCGCCAGGAGCACGGCUGGAUAGCUAUGUAGGGAAGGGAUAAGCGCUGAAAGCAUCUAAGUGCGAAGCCCACCUCAAGAUGAGAUUACCCAUUCGUAAGAAUUAAGAGCCCAGAGAGAUGAUCUGGUAGAUAGGCUGGAAGUGGAAGAGUUGCGAGACUUGGAGCGGACCAGUACUAAUCGCUCGAGGACUUUACCAA